UGUGUUCCUUUGUAAGAGAAGGCCAACUGACGUCUCUGUCCAUUUGCUUCAUCAGGCAUUGAUUCCUGCUGACUGCUUUUAGUAUUCCUUGGGAAUGCUGGUCCCUGUUCUCUGUUACAGGCACAGGAUGGUAGUCUCAGCUGGACAUGCUUCUACUGAGGAGGAUACCAAGUCCAAAUCCAGAUGGAGAGGAGACUCUGGCCAAAACCACAAGCAAAAGCAACCGAAUAAACCAAAAGACACACAUAAAAAGAAAAGAAAACCGAGGAAUUGAGAAUGGCUGAAGCAAGGCAUGUACUUACUCCUAGGCAAGCUAAAAGUUAUAAAAGAGUGUCUGUGCUUAAACAAAAUUGUAACUUCACUGUGGGGCAACAUGGUUCACACAGCGAGAAGCCUUUAUAAUCCCCCACUUGCCAAGAACCUGAAACAUGGCAAACAGUCAGAGCCAGGAAGAGGAAGGAGGAACAAGGAUCCCUGGCGGCUUGAGGACCAUCUGGCUGAGGGAGAGUGGCUGCUGACAGGGUGAGUCACUUCAUGCAAGGGCGGGUGUCUACUUCUCUCUUGCUGAUCUUCAGACCACCUGUUCAGUGUGGCUGGCUCGGCCCAGCCUGCUCACAACAACUCCCCCAGGAAGAGGCAAGUCAGGACCACAGAUGAGGGAAUCCAAAGGCGGUGAGUGCAACACAGCAAAGAUGGUAAAACAGUGUGUGUGUCUUAUUAACAACUUUCCCACACCUUCUAAAGUUCUAGACUUCCCUUCUAUCCUGGGCUCCCCGGGGAUCUCCGAAGUAAGGUAAUCAUUUUUCCUUUUAGUUUAAUGUUUUGACUUUUUAAAAUUUAUUAUUAUUAAAAAGAAAGAACGGGGCCACACUGGGCUGGAACUCAGACCAGAGAAGUUUCGUCUUGCAGAAGAUGAGUACAAACACGGAGACGCACUGGACAGUACACAGCGAGUGAGGGACUUUGGGACACUCAGCCCUUAAUGGCUUGUCUUCACCAGAGCUCAGGAAUAUUUGAAGACAAGGAAGCAGAAAGACUGUAGGGCCAGAGGGGACGGUGACACUAAGGAAGCAGUGUCUUCCAGACACAGCAGGAUUGACGAGAUAUGAACUCACAGAGACUGUGGGAACAUGCAGAGAGGCCUGCACAAGUUCAAGACAGACGGCCCUAGAGGUUAUCUCCAAGUGACAAUCACUUGCAAAGGAAAAAAAUAAUUUUCUCCACUGGAGUCUAACUGGGUAUAUAAACCACACUUAAGGACAGGCUCCAUGGACAACAAACCCAAUGGUGACUUUGCAGAUUUUUUUUCUCUCUCAGUAGCCCUUUGCUUGUAUAUUACGGUUCUUGGUUUUCUGUUUUGAUGUUUUUGUGUUGUUUUGUUUGUGCGUGUAUCUGUGUGUGUUUAUUGUGCCUUUUUUGGCUAAAUAUCUAUCUAGCUUCUGGUUUGUUUCCUUUCUUUUUUAUUUGCCUGUUUUUUUCUAAAUAGAGGGAAAAGCCCUGGAGGUGGAUGAGUGAGGAGGAUCUGGGUAAAGACAGGGGAGGAGAAACCAUGACUUUUUUAAAAAAAGAUUUAUUUAUUUUAUGAAUGUGACUACACUGUCACUGUCUUCAGA